rnacentral:tRNA from 1 species
GGUCCGGUAGCUCAGCGGCAGGGCAGCGCCCUCAUAAGGCGCAGGACGGUGGAUCGUUCCCACCUCGGACCACCA